rnacentral:misc_RNA from 1 species
GUACAAUCAAUUUACAUGGUUCUCUUCACAUACAGGGCACAAAAGUAGGUUCGAACACAGUUUUGAGUCAGAUAAUAUCUCUGGUUGAGACAGCACAGAUGUCAAAGGCCCCCAUUCAGAAGUUUGCCGACUAUAUCGCAAGCAUUUUUGUUCCUACAGUUGUUACUAUGUCCUUAUUAACAUUCUUUGGAUGGUAUGUUGCUGGGGUUCUUGGAGGCUAUCCAGAAGAAUGGCUUCCAGAAAAUGGCAAUUAUUUUGUGUUUUCUCUGAUGUUUGCAAUAUCUG